AGAGAGAGAGAGAGAGAGAGAGAGAACACAUUCAAAAAGGCAGAGUGAAAUCCCAGAAGAAUCUGAGAGUUUAGAACAGCAAUCUGGAAGAAAUCAAUCGGGUCCUUUAGGAGCUGCUGAUGUCACAGCAGCUAAGCCAGCGAAGUGUCACUGAACCUGAGCACCUAGGGAUGUUGGCUGACCUACUCACAGCCCAAAGCCACUGUCACUGUGCAGCAGGGUCUGUCGUUUAGCAUCUUACAAAUAAAGGAAAGGAAAGCAAUCGAUAUGCAACAUGACGAAAGCCUGGGAGAGCCAAACCCGGUUGGCAGGUCACAGGCCCGAGAGAGGCGAGAGAGACAAAAAGGGCCUGGAGAUGUCAGCCUCAGAUUUCUCAAGCCACACAAAGGCUGUUGGCUUUCAAUACACACUGCUUGCCUCUGUUCAUGGGAGAAAGGGGAACAAGGUGGUCAGUGUUAAAGGAAAGAGGGGGACAAGCGCCUGACGACAGUCUUGGAGCUGAAUUUAAAAACAUCAAAUUAGAGGCAUGUGCGCUGAAAUGAGGCUCCGCUGCCUGGGAACGCACCUCCCUAAACAAAUGCAGCAAUUACGACGGCUGGUGCUUUGGCUCCCGGGUAGCACAUUGAACACUGAUGGGGGCCAGCGAGCCCACUCAUUUCCCAAAUCGCCCCUUUCACAACAUCUCCACGGGAAAGUUAGGCCUGUCAGCUCGCUGCUUUGAUGGCCACUAAUACGACAUCGCUCCAGGAGGACAAAGCUUAGUGUAUGUUUCGACACUGUUCACUUAGCAUGUUCCGCAGCCAGCAAGAGUUCCUAGCAGAAAUCUCUCUGUCUUUUAUCUUUAACAUUUUAAAGGCUCAAAUCAACUUACUAAUAUUACGAACCUAGACUUCAUAAUAGUAUGUACACACACACACACACACACACACACACACACACAGAUGCUCCUAAGAAUUGUACCAAAUGGUGGCCCUGCAUCCAUACAUAGCAGUCUAGAUUUUCUCUGAAAUUCAGAACCAACUGACCCAAGCACUCACUCACAGGGCCCUGGAGUUGAUACUGUAGCUACCAGGCUACAUUCUUGACUUCCUCCCUAACAUGGAGUUCCCAUAAACUCUGUUGUUGUUGUUGUCUUGUUUCUGGAUCUCUGGGUUUCUUUUAACAUCCAGCUCCUAGGACCCCUGAGUUGGCCUUACUCCUACCCUGCUCUCACUCCAUGUCUCCUGCCUUGUCUUAUCUUCCUAGUCAAGGCUUCCAACUGCUUUUUGUAAGCAGUCAUUGUUCAGGGUCUUGGUGUGACCUGAAUAUAUUAGGAAGGUGGCAGGAGAUCAGGGAAGGAGAAAAGAAAGAAAAACAGCAGAGCAGAAAAUGCUCUGUGUGCAAGGUCUUUCCCAACAGAAAGCAGUUUCCUCAGGAGUUAACAGUGAUGGAGUUUGUUGGGUGGGUUUUAAUGUGUUCUGUCCUGAGCUUCUUGUUUCAAAAGACUUCACAACCAACAUAAGUGAGGCUACUGUAAUACAGUGCUAGCAAAAAAUGGAGGCUAUUACAUAAAUAUGAAAGAGUAGGGGUUCCUAAUAAUUACCCUAAUAUUUGUUCCUUUCAGUAACAGACUUUGCCCUGAAUAGAGUUGGGUGGUAGCCCCAGCCUCAUUACUAACAAAGUUCCCAGCCUCAUCUAUCACAAAAAAUACUUUCAUACUCAAAUCAAAGAAACAUGUAACUGCCAAGUCAUCAGAGAUACAGGGACAAGGACUGUGGGUUAAAGGUCAGAGGGCUAGGAGCUGUGAAGAAAAAAAAUAAUCACAACAUACCCAAGAGAAGUAAACUGAUUCAAAAGUAUGUAAGAACAAGUAAGUUUCUGCUACCUUCCAGUGGGCCCAAUGUGAGCAGACACCUUGUGCUUCCAAUAUCAUGCAUCCCCUACACUAGAUUCUCUACACUGUAACCUUAAAUAAACUGUCAUUCCCUCAAAAGAAAGUGUGAGCUGGGGUUUAAAAGUGGGGCUCAGUCUCUUGUGAGGCUAUGCCAGGGCCUAGCAAACACAGAAGUGGAUGCUCACAGUCAGCUAUUGGAUGGAUCACAGGGCCCCCAGUGGAGGAGCUAGAGAAAGUACCCAGGAGCUAAAGGUAUCUGCAACCCUAUAGGUGGAACAACAAUAUGAACUAACCAGUACCCCCGGAGCUCUUGUCUCUAGCUGCAUAUGUAUCAGAAGAUGGCCUAGUCGGCCAUCAGUGGAAAGAGAGGCCCAUUAGUCGUGCAAACUUUAUAUGCCUCAGUACAGGUGAAUGCCAGGGCCAAGAAGUGGGAGUGGGUGGGUAGUUGAGUGGGGGGCUAUGGGGGACUUUUGGGAUAGCAUUGGAAAUGUAAAUGAAGGAUAUACCUAAUUAAAAAAAAGUGGGGCUCAGUGGUUAAGAGCACUUGUACCACAUGGUUUCUACCACCGGCAUGGUGGCUCACAACCAUCUGGAACUCUAGUCCUGGGACAUCUGAUGUCCUCUUCUGAACUCCAUAGGCAUCUACACACAAGAACCCAUGUAAUACAUAUUUUUAAAACAGUACUAAAGGAAGUGAAUAACAGUAAAAACACUAAAAGACUAAUGCUUUGACAAAAAUGGAGUGAAGGGAUUACAUCUUACCAACAAGAACCACAAACCCUCUUUCCAGUGGAGAGGUGUGCCAUGAUGAAGAAUUGGAAGAUUGCAAUGAGUUGAUCUCCAUAGACUGCGUUGCAGAUUGCGCAUAGGCUGAUUAAGAACCCUAAUAGUAUUUUUCUUUGUGAAAAUCAGAUUCUAAAAUUAAUGCAUACAUGCAAGGUACUGCAAAGAACCAGACACAUUUUAAAAUAAGGAAAAAUGCUGGUGGAUACAAUUGUUUGGUUUAAGACUUAGAAAGAUUCAGACAUCAAGAUACCGAGGGGGGUACAACAGGCGUGGGAAAGUCCAGAGUCUGGAAAGAGACACACAGAUCCACAUGCAUGAUAGUUUUGAGGGUGGUUCUGAGGCAAUUCGAUAGAAGCAAAGAAAGUCGUUUAACAAAUAGUGCUGUUUUAUAGGAAGAUGCUAUGCCAAAUAAAAAUAAUCAAGAAAGAAAUCGGACCUUUACCUUGUGCUGUGUUAAAAAAAUGAAUCUGAGAGAGACCAUGUAUCAGAAGCACAACAGAAAUGCAGCUUAUGUGCAGACAAGAAUAAUAAAAGACACGGAAACAGAGCAGGUGGGGGGUGGGGUUCCUGGACCAGCAAGAUGUCUCUUAGUGAUUGAAAGCACUUGGCACACAAACCUGACAACCUGAAUCUAGCUUCCAGAUUCCAUGGUAGAAGGAAGGAAAAAACUGAUUCAUAAAAGUUGUCUUUUAAUUUUUACCUGUGUACCAUGGCAGACAUUCUCACACUUACUCAUACACAUACAUCAUACACACAUAUAUAUACAUAUAGCCAUAGUGAUUUUUAAAACAAAGAAUGUAUCCAUGAGUUCACAGCAAUAUACCAGUUAAAAAGAACUUUUGUGUCUACUCAACACGAGGGAAGCUAUGUCUGGCCCUGGAGACCUAGUCAACUACACACGGCUAAAUGAAAUCAUGGAUCCUGGAGGAGAAGCUCUAAUGGCCACUUUACUAAACCAGUAUAAUCCCCAGCUACAUUCUAAAUAUUUAUCUUCAUACCCACAGAUAAGUGCACUUCUGACGCCUUAGCAAGGAAACUUCUCUUUGCAACAGAUGGAGACCAUUACAGGAAAACCACAGUGGAUCAAAAAUGCAGAUUUGUGGAGCACAGUACUGACCCAUCUCCAACUCCAGCACCUUAGGUUCAAGAAUCACUUCAGAAGAGGAGGCUGAAGAAUGUAAGAUCCAGAGGAACAAGACGAUGCUGUAAGAUUGUGUCUCCUACCAGAGAAGAUACACACGUGAAGUCUCAUUAACCUGGACAAAAUCUGAAACAGAGGGGGUUGGAGGGAGGAAGGGAGAGAGACCAGUAAUAGGCAUGAUAACAUGGAAGCAGCAGAGUUCAUGAGCCCUCAACUGUAGACAACUACAGGUAACUAAGGAAAGCUGAGAGCUGGAGAAACAGUCUUCCCCAGGGAGGAGCAUACCAACUGGUCACCCAAUACAAAACAGUCAUCCUUGAAAACACACACACACACACACACACACACACACACGCACUGAAUAUGAACUGAAUAUGAAAGAGAGCUGGGAUGAGGUGGGGUAGGUUGGGGAAGGUAAAUGGGAGGUUGAACAAGAUGAGGAAAAAUGAUGUAAUUAUAAUCUCAAAAGAUUAAUAAUAAUAAUUUCAUCGUUAUUGUUGUUGGGCUUUUUGAGAGAGGGUUUCUCUUUGUAGUCCUGGCUGUCUUAGAACUCACUCUGUAGAUUAGGUAGAGCUUGAACUCAGAGAUCCACCAGCCUCUGCCUUAAGGGAUUCAAGAUGUGCACCACCACAUCUUUGAAAAGCCCUAAAACCUUAAAAAAAAAAAAAAAAAAAAGGAAGUUUUGUGACACCUUCUCC
rnacentral:lncRNA from 1 species